GAGGAUAAUGCCAGGAAUCUAAUUGGAACCGAUCUUAUCUAACUUUCAGUUUAAAUUUGGGUCUUAUCCAACAUUCAAUUUAAAUUCAGGUGCUUUCUAGGUUUUGUUAUAAUCCUCAAAAGAAUCAAUGGAGGGUGAUUUUCAGUGGCUGAAACUCUUGAAAAUUGUUUCUUUUCUCUGUUUUGCACACUUGAGCUCUGUUUGUGGCCAUAUUCAUGGGUUUGGUGAGCAACCUCUCUCCCAAAUCGAUAUUUACAAAACCAGCCUCGCGCUUCACGAUUCGGCUUCCGCGAAAGCCUCCCCUCUUAUUCUUGGAUUGAAGAAUGAGGAUACUCAGUGGGUAACAGUGGAUAUUGUGCAUCCUGAACCAUCUCCAGAUAAUUGGGUUGGAGUUUUCUCUCCUGCAAAAUUCAACUCAUCAACAUGUCCACCAAUAAAUGACCCCAAAGAGCAAAAUCCAUAUAUUUGUUCAGCCCCAAUAAAGUACAAGUAUGCAAAUCAUUCCAAUUCAGCAUACACAAAGACGGGCCAAAACACUUUGAAAUUUCAGCUGAUAAAUCAGCGGGCAGAUUUCUCCUUUGCAUUAUUUUCAGGGGGAUUGUCAAAUCCAAAACUGGUAGCAGUUUCAAAUUCCAUCACUUUUGCCAAUCCUAAAGCACCACUGUAUCCACGUCUUGCUCAAGGAAAAUCUUGGGAUGAGAUGGCCAUAACUUGGACAAGUGGCUACAACAUAGAUGAAGCUGUUCCAUUUGUUGAAUGGGGUCUGAAAGGAGGAACCCCUGAGCGCUCACCUGCUGGAACAUUGACAUUUCAUCAAAACAGCAUGUGUGGUUCACCUGCACGGACAGUAGGCUGGCGUGAUCCUGGAUUCAUACAUACAAGUUUCUUAAAAAAUUUAUGGCCAAACACUCGGUAUUCAUAUCGGAUGGGUCAUAUUUUAUCUAAUGGUUCUUAUGUCUGGAGUAAGAUGUAUUCAUUUAAAUCAUCCCCAUAUCCUGGACAAGACUCAUUACAACGUGUCAUAAUAUUUGGUGACAUGGGGAAGGCAGAGCGUGAUGGUUCGAAUGAGUAUAGUGAUUAUCAGCCAGGUUCUCUCAAUACCACAGAUCGACUCAUUGAGGACUUGAACAACAUUGACAUUGUAUUCCAUAUAGGAGAUAUAACAUAUUCAAAUGGAUACAUUUCACAGUGGGACCAAUUCACAGCACAGGUGGAGCCCAUUUCAUCAACUGUGCCAUACAUGAUCGCAAGUGGCAAUCAUGAACGUGACUGGCCAAAUACAGGAUCCUUCUAUGACACUACAGAUUCAGGUGGGGAGUGUGGAGUGCUUGCAGAAACCAUGUUCUACGUACCUGCAGAAAACAGAGCUAAAUUUUGGUACUCAACUGAUUAUGGCAUGUUUCACUUCUGUAUAGCCGAUACUGAGCAUGACUGGAGGGAGGGAUCAGAGCAGUAUAGGUUCAUUGAGCAAUGCCUUGCAUCUGCAGAUAGACAAAAACAGCCUUGGUUAAUCUUUGCAGCUCAUCGUGUCCUGGGGUAUUCCUCUGACUACUGGUAUGGCCUAGAGGGCUCAUUUGAAGAGCCGAUGGGAAGGGAAAGCUUGCAAAGGCUUUGGCAGAAGUACAAAGUAGACAUUGCAUUUUUUGGACAUGUACACAACUAUGAAAGGACAUGCCCAAUUUACCAGAAUCAAUGCGUGAAUACAGAAAGAAACCAUUAUUCAGGCACAGUGAACGGAACAAUCCAUGUUGUUGCGGGUGGGGGAGGUAGCCAUUUAUCAAAAUUCAGCGAAGUUACACCUAGUUGGAGCCUUUACAAAGAUUAUGACUUCGGAUUUGUCAAAUUGACAGCAUUCAACCAUUCAUCCCUGCUCUUUGAGUACAAGAAAAGCAGUGAUGGGAAGGUGUAUGAUUCUUUCACCAUUUCAAGGGACUACAGGGAUGUCCUGGCAUGUGUGCAUGAUAGUUGUGCAGAAACCACUUUGGCAUCUUAAGCUUUUAAAUCUACGCAUAAUGAGUUAGAAAAAUGCAAAUUCCUGAAGAAUUCUACUGUGGUUAGGUUGUAAUAUACAAGCAAUUAAGCAUGUUCUCUAAUAAUAAAAG
rnacentral:misc_RNA from 1 species